rnacentral:rRNA from 1 species
GACGAACGCUGGCGGCGUGCUUAACACAUGCAAGUCGAACGGAAAGGCCCUGCUUUUGUGGGGUGCUCGAGUGGCGAACGGGUGAGCAACACGUGAGUAACCUGCCCUUGACUUUGGGAUAACUUCAGGAAACUGGGGCUAAUACCGGAUAGGAGCUCCUGCUGCAUGGUGGGGGUUGGAAAGUUUCGGCGGUUGGGGAUGGACUCGCGGCUUAUCAGCUUGUUGGUGGGGUAGUGGCUUACCAAGGCUUUGACGGGUAGCCGGCCUGAGAGGGUGACCGGCCACAUUGGGACUGAGAUACGGCCCAGACUCCUACGGGAGGCAGCAGUGGGGAAUAUUGCACAAUGGGCGGAAGCCUGAUGCAGCACGCCGCGUGCGGGAUGACGGCCUUCGGGUUGUAAACCGCUUUCGCCUGUGACGAAGCGUGAGUGACGGUAAUGGGUAAAGAAGCACCGGCUAACUACGUGCCAGCAGCCGCGGUGAUACGUAGGGUGCGAGCGUUGUCCGGAUUUAUUGGGCGUAAAGGGCUCGUAGGUGGUUGAUCGCGUCGGAAGUGUAAUCUUGGGGCUUAACCCUGAGCGUGCUUUCGAUACGGGUUGACUUGAGGAAGGUAGGGGAGAAUGGAAUUCCUGGUGGAGCGGUGGAAUGCGCAGAUAUCAGGAGGAACACCAGUGGCGAAGGCGGUUCUCUGGGCCUUUCCUGACGCUGAGGAGCGAAAGCGUGGGGAGCGAACAGGCUUAGAUACCCUGGUAGUCCACGCUGUAAACGGUGGGUACUAGGUGUGGGGUCCACUCCACGGGUUCCGUGCCGUAGCUAACGCUUUAAGUACCCCGCCUGGGGAGUACGGCCGCAAGGCUAAAACUCAAAGGAAUUGACGGGGCCCCGCACAAGCGGCGGAGCAUGCGGAUUAAUUCGAUGCAACGCGUAGAACCUUACCUGGGUUUGACAUGGAUCGGGAGCGCUCAGAGAUGGGUGUGCCUCUUUUGGGGUCGGUUCACAGGUGGUGCAUGGCUGUCGUCAGCUCGUGUCGUGAGAUGUUGGGUUAAGUCCCGCAACGAGCGCAACCCUUGUUCACUGUUGCCAGCACGUUAUGGUGGGGACUCAGUGGAGACCGCCGGGGUCAACUCGGAGGAAGGUGGGGAUGACGUCAAGUCAUCAUGCCCCUUAUGUCCAGGGCUUCACGCAUGCUACAAUGGCUGGUACAGAGAGUGGCGAGCCUGUGAGGGUGAGCGAAUCUCGGAAAGCCGGUCUCAGUUCGGAUUGGGGUCUGCAACUCGACCUCAUGAAGUCGGAGUCGCUAGUAAUCGCAGAUCAGCAACGCUGCGGUGAAUACGUUCCCGGG